GCUGAAGAACGCAGCGAAAUGCGAUAAGUAAUGUGAAUUGCAGAAUUCAGUGAAUCAUCGAAUCUUUGAACGCACAUUGCGCCCCUUGGUAUUCCGAGGGGCAUGCCUGUUCGAGCGUCAUUAUAACCCCUCAAGCUCAGCUUGGUGUUGGGGCCUGCUGCACUGGCAGCCCUUAAAAUCAGUGGCGGCGCCAUCUGGCUCUAAGCGUAGUAAUUCUUCUCGCUAUGGAGUCCUGGUGGAUGCUUGCCAUCAAACCCCAAUUUUUCUAUGGUUGACCUCGGAUCAGGUAGGGAUACCCGCUGAACUUAAGCAUAUCAAUAAGCGGAGGA
rnacentral:misc_RNA from 1 species